GGAGGUAGUGACAAUAAAUCACAAUGCGGAACUAUUUAGUUUUGCAAUUGGAUUGAGAACAAUGUACAAGAGUUAUCGAUAAACAAUUGGAGGGCAAGUCUGGUGCCAGCAGCCGCGGUAAUUCCAGCUCCAAUAGCGUAUAUUAACGUUGUUGCAGUUAAAAAGCUCGUAGUUGAAGUGUGGGUGUAGUCUGUUGGAUCUCGUUUUGAGUGAAUGUGGACGCACCCCCCUCCAGUGGCUCUCUGUGGGUAUUAAUUUACUUGCAGGGUGUGCUGGUCAUUUACUGUGAGAAAAUUAGAGUGUUCAAAGCAGGCAUUUGCUUGAAUAUAUUAGCAUGGAAUAAUGAUAAAAGGCUUGUAUGGUCGAUUUAAUUGGUUUGUUCAUAUAAGCAAGAUUAAUAGGGACAGUUGGGGGUAUUCAUAUUCAAUAGUUAGAGGUGAAAUUCUCGGAUUUAUGGAAGAUGAACAAGUGCCGAAAGCA
rnacentral:rRNA from 1 species